UCAAUGUCCAUUGUUACAUGUCGUGUUGUUUGAAGACAACAAUGGUAAACCACUAACGAAUGUUCGUAGCAUAUGCCAAAUAUUAGUUGAAAUAUCGGCACCUAAGAGAGGUAAUUUCUUUUGUAAGUUUCAGUGCAUUGAAGACCAACCUACACGUUGUCAAUGGCAUUCAAACUGUUUACAGUUCUACUGAUUUUCCUAUUGGUAUCGGAGGCAAUUUCUCUGCCGGAAAAAGCGAGGAUCAGAUCAAUAAAAGUAAGAAAAGUCGAGCCUGAAGAACCUCCCCUUGAAAUUCCACCUAAUUACCCCAGAGAAAUGGACGAGUUUGCGGAAGCCCAGGCUGACUACCCAUCUGGUGGAAUGAGACCGAGGAGUGGCAAUUUAUAACAAUGCAUUUGAAAACAAUCAAACCGUUUGAAUAGUUUGCUAUCCAACAUGAAUUAGUGACAUUAUUGUUAUUUAUUUAUUUCUAACUAAACAAUCCGGCUUAUUGAAUGGUUACUGUAACUCCAAAGAUUUUCCAAACCGGUUUGACUCGAAUAAUCAUUAAAGUUAUCAUGGUUGUUUGA